GGGCAGUAUGAGUACAGACAGACCCAAACGGAAUAUCAUCAGAAAAAGAUAUGACAUCAGUGACGGGAUGCCGUGGUGUGAAGAACGUCUGGUCCGCAAAGUUCUCUUCCUUUCUCUCAGGGAAUUCAGAGACAAACACCGUGCUGCACACAUUCACUCACACAAGUGUCCACAUAAACGCAAGUCAAAAAUACACACUCACAUGCUCUGCAAAAGACACUGACAAAACCUAAUACACACAAGAAAACACAAGCAAGAAAAAACAUGCGCACACAACAACAAAGACUCACAUGCAGACCACUUAAUACAUCCACACAGGAGAACACACAUACUGCACAAAACAUGCACGUUUCAAAGCGCCUACACACUGAACACACAAACAAACGGCAGACAACUGACUUGACUCGGGUCUCGCAAUCUCCAGACAGUAAAUCUACUCGGAUACUACGGAACACACAAACUCAGACGAAAAUGUGUAAAAGCAAAGUUGCACACACUCUGCAGCGUACUUGCACGGACCAGAAGAGGUCUUCCACCAGGACACUGCGCUCAAAUAAAACACAAAACACGCUGUCGCUGCGGAACUCAAAAUACACAAAACCUGCAAAACAUACACACACUGCUCAGCACACACACUCACUGAACAGCAUGUGCAGAUCUAAGAACACAAAGACGCCACUGAGAGCUGCUCUCUCAGCCAGGACUCUGAGGUCGCACACCCCAACAAGUGUCUGUGGCUCUGUAGUUAACACUAUGAUCAAGCAUCGGGCAGCUGGUCCAAAAUGGAGUUGGUCCUUACAGACGCGACCUCGACAACGCCAUCCUACCAGCAAUCGUGGUGAUGAAGAUGAUUGUGCCAAAAACAGGUUCAGCAGCAUUGCCACACAACAUGGCAUUCUUAACAAGUAAGCGAGACAGGGAGCCAGGUGACAGUCAGCAUUUGCCUUCCUGUCACAAGGCCACA